GACGAACCGUGCGAACGUUAUUCGGAAUCACUGGGCUUAAAGCGCGUGUAGGCGGGCCGGCACGUCGGUCGCUGAAAUCCCCCGGCUCAACCGGGGGAAGGGGCGCCGAUACGACCGGCCUGGAGGGGCGUAGGGGGAUCGGGAACUUCCGGUGGAGCGGUGAAAUGCGUUGAGAUCGGAAGGAACGCCCGUGGCGAAAGCGCGGUCCUGGACGCCAUCUGACGCUGAGACGCGAAAGCCAGGGGAGCGAACGGG
rnacentral:rRNA from 1 species